rnacentral:rRNA from 1 species
AUUGAACGCUGGCGGCAUGCUUUACACAUGCAAGUCGGACGAGUGGCGAACGGGUGAGUAACGCAUCGGAACGUACCCAGUAAUGGGGGAUAACUGCCCGAAAGGAUAGCUAAUACCGCAUACUCUUCGAGCGGCCGAUGUCGGAUUAGCUGGUUGGCGGGGUAAAGGCUCACCAAGGCGACGAUCAGUAGCGGGUUUGAGAGGAUGAUCAGCCACACUGGGACUGAUACACGGCCCAGACUCCUACGGGAGGCAGCAGUGGGGAAUUUUGGACAAUGGGCGCAAGCCUGAUCCAGCCAUGCCGCGUGUAUGAAGAAGGCCUUCGGGUUGUAAAGGACUUUUGUCAGGGAAGCGGUACCUGAAGAAUAAGCACCGGCUAACUACGUGCCAGCAGCCGCGGUAAUAC